CUGGCUCAGGAUGAACGCUAGCGACAGGCUUAACACAUGCAAGUCGAGGGGCAGCAUAAAAGUAGCAAUACUUGGUGGCGACGGCGCACGGGUGAGUAACGCGUAUGCAACCUACCUAUCAGAGGGGAAUAACCCGGCGAAAGUCGGACUAAUACCGCAUAAAACAGGGGCACCGCAUGGUGAUAUUUGUUAAAGAAAUUCGCUGAUAGAUGGGCAUGCGUUCCAUUAGGUAGUUGGUGAGGUAACGGCUCACCAAGCCGACGAUGGAUAGGGGAACUGAGAGGUUGGUCCCCACACUGGUACUGAGACACGGACCAGACUCCUACGGGAGGCAGCAGUGAGGAAUAUUGGUCAAUGGGCGAGAGCCUGAACCAGCCAAGUCGCGUGAGGGAAGAAGGAUCUAUGGUUCGUAAACUUCUUUUGCAGGGGAAUAAAGUGCAGGACGUGUCCUGUUUUGUAUGUACCCUGAGAAUAAGGAUCGGCUAACUCCGUGCCAGCAGCGGC
rnacentral:rRNA from 1 species